CAGUCGUACCUAUGGGUAAUCAGCCUUUUGGGUGUGAUUUUGUGGAGCGUGAGGAGUUAAACGCCUUCAUGCCUGCAUAUUCGUGCACUUUGGGUGUACUUGCCCGUAUGGUUGGUUAACAUCAAUUUUGGUGGUCAUAAAAAUGGACUGGAGGAAUGUAGCUUCGAUCUCGUAUUGAAGUUGUUAAGCCUUCGGUAAUGUGAUGGAUCGAGAUUGA
rnacentral:rRNA from 1 species